GGGCGAAGGGAGGCGCGAGACACCAAGACUGGUGAUCGAGCAGCGACACCCAUGACAAGUCUAACAGUAAUAGAUAAAUAACAGUAAUAUAUAAAUCAAACAAACAAUAAAUAUUAGAACAGGUUUACGUUAAAGUAAGUCGAGGCGACCUGCAUACCCAAAAGACACCCGAUCCAAGGAGAAACGGAUAACGACUCCGAGCACCGUCUUGUUAGUAACCAUGGCAACGUCAGCGAAAUCUUAUACUGCGGAAUACAGACACUGCCUGAGUUGAGCUUGAAUUCAUAUUUAUCCCGCGAGGGGAAGCCGAUAACUUGGCAUAUUUAUAUUAUUAUAAAAUAGUUUUGUUUGUCGCAGUUAGGGAUACGAGAGUGUGUAAACAAGUGGAAGUAUAGUGGUAAGGUGCUUUGGUGCCGGAGACGUCGUGUGAAGAGGGAAGAGCCUAAGGACCCAACCUGACGGUUAAAGUUACUGUGGAUUUUGGGGAAGUCAAGUGUUGAGCUGACAAUGACAAGGGGUGGAGGGUGUCAGCACAUCAAACAGAUGUGGUGACCCGAGACAGGGAAUUUUGAGAUUUGCUCAGUGAAAAGCGAGGUACGAAAAAAUUGGACUUGGUUGAAGAGCGAGUGUUGUGUUCAUGCACAGAGUGUGUUGGAGUGUGGUCAAGUCUCUUCCACUAGCAAGCAGGCAGGCAUCAUCGGCGAAGAGCUUGGUUAGAAGAUUAGAGCAGUUCGACAAGUCAUUUACAGAGAGUAAAAAAGCCAAAGGCCCGAUAAUUGAACCCUGGACAAUUCCGCACUGAAUGGGCAACAUUGGGGACUUAUGAGAACCUAAUUCAACAAAUUGAAAACGACCACUCAGGUAAUUAGCUAGUAGU